rnacentral:rRNA from 1 species
GUCCUACGGGGGGCAGCAGUGGGGAAUAUUGCACAAUGGGGGAAACCCUGAUGCAGCGACGCCGCGUGAGUGAAGAAGUAUUUCGGUAUGUAAAGCUCUAUCAGCAGGAACGAGACAAGACGGUACCUGACUAAGAAGCCCCGGCUAACUACGUGCCAGCAGCCGCGGUAAUACGUAGGGGGCAAGCGUUAUCCGGAAUCACUGGGUGUAAAGGGAGCGUAGACGGCUGAGCAAGCCUGAAGUGAAAGGCGGGGGCCCAACCCCCGGACCGCUUUGGGAACUGCAGGGCUGGAGUGAAGGUGAGG